rnacentral:rRNA from 1 species
AUGUUUCCCGAAGCGACACUUUGUUUCACUCCUUUCAUUUAUACUCUAAGCGCGAUUGCUAUAAUAUAUACUUCCUUGACCACUUUAAGACAGAUCGAUCUUAAGAAGAUCAUUGCCUACUCCUCAGUAGCCCAUCUGAAUUUGGUGACUAUUGGUAUGUUUAGUCGGAACAUACAGGGAAUUGGAGGUAGCAUUUUACUUAUGUUAAGUCAUGGACUGGUUUCUUCAGCCCUUUUUCUAUGUGUUGGUGUUCUAUAUGACCGACAUAAGACUCGACUUGUUAGAUAUUAUGGAGGUUUAGUGAGCACCAUGCCGAAUUUCUCUACCAUUUUCUUCUUUUUCACUUUAGCCAAUAUGAGUUUACCCGGCACUAGCAGCUUUAUCGGGGAAUUUCUAAUCUUAGUAGGAGCUUUCCAAAGAAAUAGCUUAGUAGCCACAUUAGCUGCGCUUGGGAUGAUUUUAGGCGCGGCGUAUUCCCUUUGGCUAUAUAAUCGUGUGGUUUCUGGAAAUUUAAAACCCGAUUUCCUCUAUAAAUUCUCCGAUCUAAAUGGCAGAGAAGUUUCCAUAUUUCUACCUUUUCUUGUUGGAGUUGUUCGGAUGGGUGUUCACCCCAAAGUGUUCCCGGACUGCAUGCAUACAUCCGUAAGUAACUUAGUGCAACAUGGCAAAUUUCAUUGA